rnacentral:lncRNA from 1 species
GAUAAGUGUAUUUUAUACACUUAUUCGGGUGCUUAAAAUGACAAUAUUUGGUGGUCCUUUUAACAAAUUAUAUCCUAAUUUUUUUAUUUUAUGCUUAAUAGAUAUAUUUCACGAUCAAAAAGGGAGUUGAAGAGAAGAAGCAAAAAUGGGCGAAAAGUGGCAAAAUUCAAGUACAAGGACUAAAUUGGCUAUUUGAUGCAAAGUUUGGAAAUCAAAAUUCAUUAUCUUGAAAAUUAAGGACUUGGAAGCAAACACUAUAAAUGGGCCUCAACUAGACUUCCACGUGGGCUGCUGAUUGAACUUCUUGACCUAGAAGGACCCGCAUGCAUGCAAAGUGAAAUUAAAAAGUCCAAGUGAAAGUGAUUUUCGGUGGCUGCUAGGUUUUAUUUUUUAUAUAUAUACACCAUUUACACGCCGAGGAGGAGGGAGCCGAACUGGGGGAAAAUUGGGACUCCAAUUGGAGUCAAUUAUUGAGGCUCAAUAGCACAGAAAAUCGGGAGAGAUACAUACGAAUUGGAGAGGUGGAAUUGGGGAGACAACCUGGGGGAAUUGGUUGCUGGAAAUUAGACUUACAUACAUAUAUAUUUACGCCUUGCAGCCAGCAAAACGACUUUUCUGGAAGGAGAACUGCAGCCGGCCAAAUACAACACUUCGGAAGAAUUUCUAACGGCUGGACAAAAAUUCAAUUGCGGACUGCUAGGAUUAAUUGGAAGAAGGCCCGACACACAAUUGGAUAAAUCAAUUGAGAAACGUGUAAAGCAUAGAGGGAAGCUGAAAGUAGAUUUGGAGGCAAGAAUUGAAGCUGCCGACAAUUAAUAUAUUUACAUACACACGUAAAGACGGCAGCUUGAGGAGGCAGAAUUGAGAAGUUCCAGCUGGGAUUACAAUUAAAUAUUGGAGGCACUCACAGAAAUUGAGGAGAGGCACACAGAGAAGCUCAGAAAUUGCUGGAAUUUAUCACUUAUACGCAUAGGAAACCGAGGAAGAAUUGGACUCCAAACAUUGAAGCUGUCGGCUGGAGUAAAAUUGAAAUUUC